rnacentral:rRNA from 1 species
AACAAACGCUGGCGGCGUGCCUAACACAUGCAAGUCGUACGAGAAAGGGUCCUUCGGGACCUGAGUAAAGUGGCGCACGGGUGAGUAGCGCGUGGAUAAUCUACCCUUCAGUUGGGAACAACUCAUCGAAAGGUGGGCUAAUACCGAAUAAUACUGCUCGACCUUGGUCGAGCAGCCAAAGAGAGCCUCUGCUUGCAAGCCCUCGCUGAAGGAUGAGUUCGCGUACCAUUAGCUUGUUGGUAGGGUAAUGGCCUACCAAGGCGACGAUGGUUAGCUGGUCUGAGAGGAUGAUCAGCCACACUGGAACUGAGACACGGUCCAGACUCCUACGGGAGGCAGCAGUGAGGAAUCUUGCGCAAUGGGGGAAACCCUGACGCAGCAACGCCGCGUGAGUGAGGAAGGGUCUUCGGAUCGUAAAGCGUCUGUCAGUUGGAAGAAAUGUCUGAGAGUCAAUCCCUUUCAGGCUUGACGGUACCAACAGAGGAA